AAGCAACCUCUCCUGCAGCCACAACAGUGCGGCAGAUCAUACAUGCAUGAGGAUUGCUAGGGAGCCUUGGGAACAGCCUCUCCUAGUGGAUGAUGGUACUGUUUUAGGUUAAAGCCAAGAGUGAUAAGUAAUGAACAAAUGUUGGGCUGUUAGAGGACCCCUUGGAAAUGGAUUAGGGACAGACCAAGGCAAACGGUUAUUUGUUCCAAAAUGCCAAAAUGACAAGGUGUGCAAAGUCACUUACUUGUAAUGGAAGUAAUCAAGAGAAAGGCAUCACCAAGUGAAGCUUGGACGGAGAAUCAAGGCAGAUUGGGUUAGGUUAGGUUCUUGAUGGUCAACAAUGAGGAGGUUGACUUUGGUCAAAGUUGACCAAAAAGACAACUGUUGACCAAAGUCAACAAUAGGUCAAAACUUCAUUUUUUGGUAUUUUUUGUAUGGAAUCAAAUGUAAUGAAAUAAAAUUGAAAUGGAUUAAUAAAAAUGGUUUGAAGUUGGUUUCCAAA
rnacentral:lncRNA from 1 species